rnacentral:rRNA from 1 species
UACGUAGGGUGCGAGCGUUGUCCGGAAUUAUUGGGCGUAAAGGGCUCGUAGGCGGUCUGUUGCGUCGGGAGUGGAAACUCAGGGCUUAACCCUGAGCCUGCUUCCGAUACGGGCAGACUAGAGGUAUGCAGGGGAGAACGGAAUUCCUGGUGUAGCGGUGAAAUGCGCAGAUAUCAGGAGGAACACCGGUGGCGAAGGCGGUUCUCUGGGCAUUACCUGACGCUGAGGAGCGAAAGUGUGGGGAGCGAACAGG